UACGAAGGGGGCUAGCGUUGUUCGGAAUUACUGGGCGUAAAGCGUGCGCAGGCGGUUAUAUAAGACAGUUGUGAAAGCCCUGGGCUCAACCUGGGAAUUGCAUUGGAUACUGGCAGGCUAGAGUGCGGUAGAGGAUGGCGGAAUUCCCGGUGUAGCAGUGAAAUGCGUAGAGAUCGGGAGGAACAUCUGUGGCGAAGGCGGCCAUCUGGACCAGCACUGACACUGGAGGCACGAAAGCGUGGGGAGCAAACAGG
rnacentral:rRNA from 1 species